GAUGAACGCUGGCGGCGUGCCUAAUACAUGCAAGUCGAGCGAACGGACGAGAAGCUUGCUUCUCUGAUGUUAGCGGCGGACGGGUGAGUAACACGUGGAUAACCUACCUAUAAGACUUGGAUAACUUCGGGAAACCGGAGCUAAUAACGGAUAAUAUUUUGAACCGCAUGGUUCAAAAGUGAAAGACGGUCUUGCUGUCACUUAUAGAUGGAUCCGCGCUGCAUUAGCUAGUUGGUAAGGUAACGGCUUACCAAGGCAACGAUGCAUAGCCGACCUGAGAGGGUGAUCGGCCACACUGGAACUGAGACACGGUCCAGACUCCUACGGGAGGCAGCAGUAGGGAAUCUUCCGCAAUGGGCGAAAGCCUGACGGAGCAACGCCGCGUGAGUGAUGAAGGUCUUCGGAUCGUAAAACUCUGUUAUUAGGGAAGAACAUAUGUGUAAGUAACUGUGCACAUCUUGACGGUACCUAAUCAGAAAGCCACGGCUAACUACGUG
rnacentral:rRNA from 1 species